AGAAAGAACAAAUGCAAGGCUGUGUUUAAUGUCAAACAAUGCCAUUUGUUUUGAUAUCAUUGAAAUCAUAUUUGUUUCUGCCUUUGCACAGAAUUGUAAAGUAGGAUCUUGUCACAUUUUUGGUGCUGUAUAUACAUAUGUAUAUACAAUAUACUGUGGUUAUGAACAUGUUAUCAAUGCAAAUUUAUAACUUAUUUGCUUUUCAUUUGUUUCUUGUUGUGGUAGACAAGAAAUUGAGAUAAAUGAGAAAGACAUAGAGAGACAGCUUGGAAGAGUGGGAGGAAAAACAAGAGACAACAAGAGUGUUUAUGACAAAGAGAGAGGCAGAUUACAACACACUGAAAAGUGACAGAGUGUGAAAGAGGAAGACAGCUUCAACUCAUAAUGCAUUUCCUUAAAGGGACUAUAUGUACUGAUUGGGGAAUCAGGUGCAGCUGCUGCCCAUUACUAGUUGCACCUGCAAGGCAGGAGGGGGAAGGGAAGUACCUGGAGAACUUCAGGAGAAAGACGCACCAAAACAAAACACAGGGCCCACGGCUCUAGGGCCGUAACAGGACAGCAGGUUCCAGGAUUCUCCUUUUGAAUGCAGCCAUUAACAGUCAUGUGAACUGAUAAUGAGGACACUGAAAUAUUGGAAACUGAAGGGUGGAAAGAAGUGCAGAUGACAGCUUUAUGGUUGAUCACACAAAAAGGGGCAGGAUGUCCUGUCCUAAUAUUGCUGCUAAGCUGUGUUUUAUGGUCUAAAUUCAAAACAGCCAGAACAAUAAAUGUGUUUUUUGUUUAUCAUUGCCAAAUUACCUUUAGGCAAAAAUAUGGCUUCAUUAAAGCCCCAAUUCUGGAUGCUGUUUUCUUUCUUCUGUUUUCUCUGUUGCUGUCCACUUUCACAUUCAAAUAUAUGAGCUUUGUGUAUUACAUUUUCAUAACAGCCUUUAGUUAAAUAUACUUUUGCCAUAACAAUAAAGAAGCAAUA